rnacentral:lncRNA from 14 species
GCCAGUGCAGACAGAGCCUGCUCAGCCUCAUCCUGAACCUUUCUCUGCAGGAGCAGGGCGCGUGCCCGGUGUCGGUGUGCCCGGUGUCGGUGUUCCUGGUGUCGGUGUGCCCGGUGUCGGUGUACCCGGUGUUGGUGUACCUGGUGUUGGUGUACCCGGUGUUGGUGUACCCGGUGUUGGCGUGCCCGGGGUUGGUGUACCCGGAGUUGGCGUGCCCGGUGUUGGCGUGCCUGGAGUUGGUGUGCCCGGUCUGGUGCCAGGUGAGAUGGUGUCUAAGGAUGCCUCCAGAGGCUGAGGGGUGCUGGUGUGGCCACCAUGGCCCAUCACUGCUCCUCAUGCUUCCCCUUCCCCCCCAGGAGUCGGAGCCCCAGCAGCUGCCGCUGCUGCCAAAGCAGCUGCCAAAGCAGCCAAGUAUGGAGCAGGUGGUCUGGCUCCUGGUGUGGGUGGUCUGGCUCCCGGUGUGGGUGGACUUGCUCCCGGUGUAGGUGGACUGGCUCCCGGUGUAGGUGGCCUUGCUCCUGGUGUUGGUGGCCUGGUCCCCGGUGUUGGAGGUGUCCCAGGGGUCGGAGUUCCCUCAGCAGCAGCCAAAGCAGCAGCGAAGGCAGCCAAAUUCGGUGCCGGUGUUGGAGGGGUGCCUGGAGCAGUGCCUGGAGCAGUGCCUGGAGCAGUGCCUGGAGUUGCUGGGGUGCCAGGAGUGACUCCUGGUGUAGGUGGUGUGCCUGGGCUGGUGCCAGGUGUGGGGGUACCUGGUACUGGCAUCCUCCCCGGGGCAGGUACGUGCUUCCUCACGCCCCCAUAGGGACCUGCCUGGGGGCAGGGGUGGCCAGGGAUGCUAAAAC